CCCAUUGUGACUCGUUUGAGCUCUUAGCCAGGCGUGUAGUCUGGCGGGAGCCGUCGCGGCUGGCUCGGCAGCUCCAGGCUAUUCCGAGGAACAGUCUUCAGAGAGCCUGGGGUGCUGAUGGGGAAAAGCUGUUGCUGAGAUUUGACAAGUUUGGUCCUGAGAUGUCAGAAAGGAUUUCAGCUCUUCUGCCACCCCAAGGACGGUGGCGCGUAAAUCACAGUGAGCUGGCUUAUGUCAGAGGACAAUGAAUCCAGGCAGUGAUCCACCAAUGAUAACUAACAUCAUAAAAAGAUACAUGGCCGGAUAUGAUGUUCCUUCUGACGGAAGACCACAACACCUGCUGAAAAAUCAAAUCUGAAUCGGAUCAAGCCUCUAGAGGAGGCAGCACCCAGGGUCAUUCCUGGAGCAUAAACGAUCCCUGCAGAACAUGGGCUAGAAGACCCCACAGUGGGGCAGAGGCAGGUCCUGGACUGGGAUCCCAGCAGUGAGAAGACCUGGACAUCAACCCUAUUUCAUUGUGCCUCUGCAAAUCUCCCAACUUUUGGAGCUGUAGCUGCAAGCUCAGACUUGUGGUUUCCUGUACCUGGAGGAGGCCCAGGUCAUUCUGUUAAGUCCCUUGUCUAUUUCCUGCUUUUAUCUGGAUGCUGAGUUAAUUAUUUGAUCCAACAAUAAAACUAACAAGGUUUUAUUUGUUU
rnacentral:lncRNA from 1 species